rnacentral:sRNA from 1 species
GUGUGUGUGUGCGUGUUCUCGCUGUUUGGCAGAGCAGAGCGACGACCCGACCAAUAAAACCAACUACCAACAACUGAAAGAUAUAAACUAUACACCAAAUAAUUAAAUCAACAAUAACAUUGCAGCUGCAAACAUAGAAAUUGGCCAGCAAAAUGCCAACUGAACUGAAUGCAAAACAGCAGCAGAAAUAUUAAAAACUGACAUCUGGAGGAGCCGCGCCAAGACACCGGCAAGUGGUGUUGACAACAAUUUGCUGAGCAUGCAACGGAAACAAAAGCCAACAGCAGCCGUCGAAGAAGCAGCAGCAGCAGCAGCAAUAGCAGCAGCAGCAAUA